UACAGAGGGUGCAAGCGUUGUCCGGAAUUAUUGGGCGUAAAGAGCUCGUAGGCGGCCUGUCGCGUCGGAUGUGAAAGCCCGGGGCUUAACCCCGGGUCUGCAUUCGAUACGGGCAGGCUAGAGUGUGGUAGGGGAGAUCGGAAUUCCUGGUGUAGCGGUGAAAUGCGCAGAUAUCAGGAGGAACACCGGUGGCGAAGGCGGGUCUCUGGGCCGAUACUGACGCUGAGGAGCGAAAGCGUGGGGAGCGAACAGG
rnacentral:rRNA from 1 species